rnacentral:rRNA from 1 species
UACAGGGGGUGCAAACGUUGCUCGGAAUCAUUAAGCGUAAAGCGCACGUAGGCGGUUCGUUAUGUCGGAUGUGAAAGCCCUUGGCUUAACCGAGGAAGUGCAUCCGAAACUGGAAGGCUUGAGUACUUAAGAGGAUCGCGGAAUUCCCGGUGUAGAGGUGAAAUUCGUAGAUAUCGGGAGGAACACCAGUGGCGAAGGCGGCGAUCUGGGAAGAUACUGACGCUGAGGUGCGAAAGCGUGGGGAGCAAACAGG